rnacentral:rRNA from 1 species
UACGAAGGGGGCUAGCGUUGCUCGGAAUCACUGGGCGUAAAGGGUGCGUAGGCGGGUUCUUAGGUCAGAGGUGAAAUCCUGGAGCUCAACUCCAGAACUGCCUUUGAUACUGAGAGUCUUGAGUAUGACAGAGGUGAGUGGAACUGCGAGUGUAGAGGUGAAAUUCGUAGAUAUUCGCAAGAACACCAGUGGCGAAGGCGGCUCACUGGGUCAUUACUGACGCUGAGGCACGAAAGCGUGGGGAGCAAACAGG